rnacentral:rRNA from 1 species
GAUGAACGCUGGCGGCGUGCUUAACACAUGCAAGUCGAACGGAAAGGCCCAAGCUUGCUUGGGUACUCGAGUGGCGAACGGGUGAGUAACACGUGGGUGAUCUGCCCUGCACUUCGGGAUAAGCCUGGGAAACUGGGUCUAAUACCGGAUAGGACCACAUUUUGGAUGGUGUGGUGGAAAGUUUUUCGGUGUGGGAUGAGCUCGCGGCCUAUCAGCUUGUUGGUGGGGUAAUGGCCUACCAAGGCGUCGACGGGUAGCCGGCCUGAGAGGGUGUACGGCCACAUUGGGACUGAGAUACGGCCCAGACUCCUACGGGAGGCAGCAGUGGGGAAUAUUGCACAAUGGGCGCAAGCCUGAUGCAGCGAGGCCGCGUGGGGGAUGACGGCCUUCGGGUUGUAAACUCCUUUCGCUAGGGACGAAGCGCAAGUGACGGUACCUGGAGAAGAAGCACCGGCUAACUACGUG